AUACCUUUCUCGGCCUUUUGGCUAAGAUCAAGUGUAGUAUCUGUUCUUAUCAGUUUAAUAUCUGAUAUGUGGUCUAUCGGAUCACUCGAUAUUAACUCUACUAGGGAUUAACCCGGGCUACGCCCGGGAUUUUUAUUUUUUUCUAAUUUAAGUUGUUAAAUUAUUUAUAUUUAGGGUAUGAUAU
rnacentral:snRNA from 1 species